rnacentral:rRNA from 1 species
UAUUGGGCGUAAGAGCUCGUAGGCGGUUUGUCGCGUCUGCCGUGAAAGUCCGGGGGUCAACUCCGGAUCUGCGGUGGGUACGGGCAGACUAGAGUGAUGUAGGGGAGACUGAAAUUCCUGGUGUAGCGGUGAAAUGCGCAGAUAUCAGGAGGAACACCGAUGGCGAAGGCAGGUCUCUGGGCAUUAACUGACGCUGAGGAGCGAAAGCAUGGGGAGCGAACAGGAUUAGAUACCCUGGUAGUCCAUGCCGUAAACGUUGGGCACUAGGUGUGGGGGACAUUCCACGUUUUCCGCGCCGUAGCUAACGCAUUAAGUGCCCCGCCUGGGGAGUACGGCCGCAAGGCUAAAACUCAAAGGAAUUGACGGGGGCCCGCACAAGCGGCGGAGCAUGCGGAUUAAUUCGAUGCAACGCGAAGAACCUUACCAAGGCUUGACAUGGGCCGGACCGGGCUGGAAACAGUCCUUCCCCUUUGGGGCCGGUUCACAGGUGGUGCAUGGUUGUCGUCAGCUCGUGUCGUGAGAUGUUGGGUUAAGUCCCGCAACGAGCGCAACCCUCGUUCCAUGUUGCCAGCGCGUAAUGGCGGGGACUCAUGGGAGACUGCCGGGGUCAACUCGGAGGAAGGUGGGGACGACGUCAAAUCAUCAUGCCCCUUAUGUCUUGGGCUUCACGCAUGCUACAAUGGCCGGUACAAAGGGUUGCGAUACUGUGAGGUGGAGCUAAUCCCAAAAAGCCGGUCUCAGUUCGGAUUGGGGUCUGCAACUCGACCCCAUGAAGUCGGAGUCGCUAGUAAUCGCAGAUCAGCAACGCUGCGGUGAAUACGUUCCCGGGCCUUGUACACACCGCCCGUCAAGUCACGAAAGUUGGUAACACCCGAAGCCGGUGGCCUAACCCCUUGUGGGAGGGAGCUGUCGAAGGUGGGACUGGCGAUUGGGACGAAGUCUAACAGGGUAA